rnacentral:sRNA from 1 species
GCUGUAGUCAUUGGGGAGUAGCCAUUCCCAGCGCCCCGCUGGGAAGACCACGUCAACAAACUUGAGACAGCUGUCUCAUGGCGUGGUCAGCCGCUGCAGCAGCAGCGUGAGCCCGGCGAGACCUUUGGCCGCAAUGCGCUU